rnacentral:rRNA from 1 species
CCUACGGGUGGCAGCAGUCGAGAAUCAUUCACAAUGGGGGAAACCCUGAUGGUGCGACGCCGCGUGGGGGAAUGAAGGUCUUCGGAUUGUAAACCCCUGUCAUGUGGGAGCAAAUUAAAAAGAUAGUACCACAAGAGGAAGAGACGGCUAACUCUGUGCCAGCAGCCGCGGUAAUACAGAGGUCUCAAGCGUUGUUCGGAAUCACUGGGCGUAAGGCGUGCGUAGGCGGUUUCGUAAGUCGGGUGUGAAAGGCGCGGGCUCAACCCGCGGACGGCACAUGAUACUGCGAGACUAGAGUAAUGGAGGGGGAACCGGAAUUCUCGGUGUAGCAGUGAAAUGCGUAGAUAUCGAGAGGAACACUCGUGGCGAAGGCGGGUUCCUGGACAUUAACUGACGCUGAGGCACGAAGGCCAGGGGAGCGAAAGGGAUUAGAUACCCUAGUAGUC